AUAAGAUGAAAUUGUUGUUAAGGUUGUCGGUAAAAACAAUACAAAGAGGGGUUCAAGUGGAUUUUUGCUUAGGAAGAAAAAGGUGAAGACCAAAUUGACAUUGACAAAAGCCAAAGCUGCCCAGGCAAUGGAGGUUGACAAAUGAAGUUCAAAUUUUAAUGUCUUAGGUUUAUGUUAUUAUGCUGGUAAGUUAAAGAAGUUCAUUGCUGUUGAAUUCACAGCUUUUUUGUAAGUUGUAACUUAGACAGGAAGUUUUUAUCUAGAAUUGUCUAUGGUAUUCACA
rnacentral:misc_RNA from 1 species